rnacentral:lncRNA from 1 species
CCGGAAGGCACCCUGCCCAGGGAGAAGUGCUCUGUGUCAUCUGCCGAACUCUGGCAGCAAUAGCAGAGCGCCAGUUAUCACCCACACCAUUUUAGGCCCCAGGAGGGCACAGAGUUGGCUCCUGGCUCAGGUUAGUCAGGCAAGUGACAUAUGCACAUACAAAGAUGGUGUCAGGCAGCAGAAAGGAACGCCCUGAGAGGGUCCAGUUUGCUCAGAGGAGUGUGGGGGAAGCAGCAGGCGCAUCCAGCUGGAAGGACCAGGAAUAUGCAGGAGGAGGAAGCAGCAGGGAAGCCUCCCAGGCCAGGAGUGCUCUCAGCCUUGGGGAGGCAGGACCUGAAGCCACUUUGUGAGGCCAUUAGGAAGAAAGCUGACGGGGCCGUGUGGCGGGCAGAAUGAAGGCCCCAAAAAAUGUUCACGGAUGUUCCUGGCUUAUCUGGGUGGGCCCCAUAUGAUCAUAAGGGUCCUUAGAAGAGGGAGACAGGAGGGUCUGAGUUAGAGACGGACAUGUGAUGAUGGAAGAGAGAUGUGACGAGGUGACAGGGAGACAGAGAUAGAGAUUGCAAUUUGAAGGUACACUGCUGGCUUUGAAGGUGGAGGAGGGGGCUAUGAGCCAAGGAACGCAGGCGCCUCUAGAAGCUGGCAAAGGCCGGAAUUGGAUUCUGUCCUAGAGCCUGCAGAAGGAACGAAACUCUGCUGACACCGAGACUUUAGGACUUCCGACCUCUAGAACUAUAAGAGUUCUCCGGAGCCACAAAAGACAACAACAAAUAAAAUAACAUGUAAUGCAAAAGAUACGCCGGUAGAGCAACAUGUAUGCAGACUUACAGACGUAAGUUGACAGGCACGCCCCUUGGCAGAAUAUUCUCUGGGGCACCCUACAACCACACGUCUACACUCUGUAGGGCCCCUCAGACAAGGUUUGUGAAGUGUGGCAGUGUGGCCUGGCCACCGCAUCUUCUGACAGUGAAUCCUAGUUCUUUAACACACAGCAGCAGCUGCCGCCCGAAGAUGGCCGGGAUGUGAUUGUGGUGGCUUCUCUUCCAAGAGGCCAGUCACACGAGGUCUCACCUCUGAGUCAGAAAUAUUUACUUCUGCUUCUUCAGAACUCCCACCAAAAAGAGAAAAACCACUCUCAGAAGCUCUGUUCCAGCUCACAAGUCCCUGGGGCAUAAACCAGGGCUGUGAGCAGUGGCCGGGUGCCUGGCUGGGUCUUCAGCCUCCCGUGGCGUCUGCCAACACCGAGCUCCUGGGGAGGGCUCCUGGGCCUUCGGUUUAAAGGUUUUCUUUGGUGUGGUGGGAAGACAGGAUGAAAACAGAAAAGAAAUGGAAAAACGGGAAACCGUGGCAUGUGUAAGGAAAUGAGAGGUAUGCACGGAGCGCUUUUGUGCAGCCUGAAGCGUGAUGGUUGUCAAGAGGAGAAACACCCGUAUGAUGGCUUGGGUUGCAAGCUGAACUAGCCACUUUUUCGUGGAACACAAUUUUUACUUGAAAGAAUGACUGACAGACAAACUGUGGUUAUUCAGACUUGGGUAUCUGGCAGACAUUUGAUCAAAAAUGAACAAAGUGAGCCUGUCACUGCAAGGAAAACAACUGAUGGGAUUUGUUGCCAAUAGCACAACUUUAGCUUUCAAAUGAAACUUCGAGUUUGGGAAAACCAGAGCUUGCAGCUGCCCAAUAAUGAAAGGGCUCUGAUGAGAAUGCUGUGACAUGGACAAAUUGAUUUUUGAUAUUGUAUAAUGAAAUUGUCAAAUUAGAAUGAUUUGUAUAAUUUGGUGAACCAAUGAAUUUUUAUCCGUGCAUGAUUUUGUAACAUCAUACAUUUUGGUACUUUGGCUGAAAUACAAUGAUGGCCACUGGAAUGUCGUCGCUGCAGUGAAUUGUCGUCUCUCCUAC